rnacentral:rRNA from 1 species
CGAACCGAGCGAACGUUGUUCGGAAUCACUGGGCUUAAAGGGUGCGUAGGCGGGCUGCCAAGUUUGAGGUGAAAUCCUCCGGCUCAACCGGGGAAGUGCCUUGAAUACUGGCGGUCUGGAGGGAGGUAGGGGCGUGCGGAACUAACGGUGGGGCGGUGAAAUGCGUUGAUAUCGUUAGGAACUCCGGUGGCGAAGGCGGCACGCUAGACCUCUUCUGACGCUGAGGCACGAAAGCCAGGGGAGCGAACGGGAUUAGAUACCCCGGUAGUCCUGGCCCUAAACGUUGAGAACUAGGUAGCAGGCCGGACAUGGGCUUGCUGCCGGAGCAAAAGUGCUAAGUUCUCCGCCUGGGGAGUAUGGUCGCAAGGCUG